rnacentral:rRNA from 1 species
UACGUAGGGGGCAAGCGUUGUCCGGAUUUAUUGGGCGUAAAGAGCGCGUAGGCGGCCAGAUAAGUCCGGUGUGAAAGUCACAGGCUCAACCUGUGAAUGCCGCUGGAAACUGUCUGGCUUGAAUCCGGGAGAGGGAUGCGGAAUUCCAGGUGUAGCGGUGAAAUGCGCAGAUAUCAGGAGGAACACCGGUGGCGAAGGCGGCAUCCUGGACCAUUACUGACGCUGAGGCGCGAAAGCUAGGGGAGCAAACGGG